rnacentral:rRNA from 1 species
GACGAACGCUGGCGGCGUGCCUAAUACAUGCAAGUAGAACGCUGAAGAGAGGAGCUUGCUCUUCUUGGAUGAGUUGCGAACGGGUGAGUAACGCGUAGGUAACCUGCCUGGUAGCGGGGGAUAACUAUUGGAAACGAUAGCUAAUACCGCAUAAAAUUGAUUAUUGCAUGAUAAUUAAUUGAAAGAUGCAACUGCAUCACUACCAGAUGGACCUGCGUUGUAUUAGCUAGUUGGUGAGGUAACGGCUCACCAAGGCGACGAUACAUAGCCGACCUGAGAGGGUGAUCGGCCACACUGGGACUGAGACACGGCCCAGACUCCUACGGGAGGCAGCAGUAGGGAAUCUUCGGCAAUGGGGGGAACCCUGACCGAGCAACGCCGCGUAAGUGAAGAAGGUUUUCGGAUCGUAAAGCUCUGUUGUAAGAGAAGAACGGGCGUGAGAGUGGAAAGUUCACACUGUGACGGUAUCUUACCAGAAAGGGACGGCUAACUACGUG